rnacentral:rRNA from 1 species
UACGGGGGGAGCAAGCGUUGUUCGGAUUUACUGGGCGUAAAGCGCACGUAGGCGGUUUGUUAAGUCAGGGGUGAAAUCCCGGAGCUCAACUCCGGAACUGCCUUUGAUACUGGCAAUCUUGAGUCCGGAAGAGGUGAGUGGAACUCCUAGUGUAGAGGUGGAAUUCGUAGAUAUUAGGAAGAACACCAGUGGCGAAGGCGGCUCACUGGUCCGGUACUGACGCUGAGGUGCGAAAGCGUGGGGAGCAACAGG